rnacentral:lncRNA from 1 species
UCAAGAAUUGACGAUAUAAGGUUAGUAAGUAUAUUCAAUUCUUCUUCUUGUAUAUUUUUUUUCCCGUUUUAUUGUGUAAUUAGAUACGUAGGCUUUCAUAUUCUUUUCGUUUCAUAAUUAAACUCUCAUUUAUUUAUUUUAAAAUUAAAAGUAAAUAUAUUUAAUUUUGGAAAAUUGAAAUAAACUAACUACUUCAAACUUUAAUGAAACUCUUUUUGUGGGAGAAGAGAGUAAUUAAUUAGUUUUAUGUAGUUGUUCUUGUUGGCAUUGUGAUAUCAUGUUUUUAAUUUGCUUGGUUCUUGAAUCUUUAUUUAUUUAUUUUUUGCUAAAUUUGGUUUUUGAAUCUUGAUCAUUAUAUAUAUGCAGUCUCUUCUUGUUUAUUUUUAUAUAAAAAAGACAGUUUCGUUUGAUAAAUUUAUUUAUUUUUCAUGGGUGUAUUUGAAUAAUAUUUUCUCUGCAUAAUAAUCUCUACAUGUUUUUUUAUGAUGAGAUUUGAUAGUUAAGUUUUUCUUUUUCUUCUUCUUGGACUAAAGAAUUUAAUCUUUCUUGAUUUUCGUGUCAUCUUGAUUGAUAUCUCUAUACUGUCUUCUUGGUUCAAUCUAGUUGUUAUGUACGUAGGAUAUAUGUGUGUACCACCCCCACCCCCAACCCUACCCCUACCCCUACCCCUACCCACACACAUAAGAAUUUAUGUAUCUUUUGUUUUCAUGAUGGUUAAUUUAUGCUCCUUGAACAGCUGGCAUUUUGGAAGUUUGAUGAACAACGAAAGGUUCGUGAAAUCUUGUCUGAAUGUUGUGACAUCGAAGCCAUACGAGAGAGAGCGCCGAAUUGAGACCAUCAAGAAGUCGUGGUUGAUCUCACGGUAUGGUUUUCAUGUCACAACGUUCGGACAGCGAUUUCAUCUCCAAUAAAUACCCAACAACAGUCAGUAUGAAUUGAGAACUAUUUAGGUACGUCCUUUUCAACUCCACUCAAUUUGACUCAAUAUUUUUUUUGGUACCAUUAUUAAUUUUGGGAGUGGUUAAACUUGAUAAAUUCACUUCAUGUCAAAUAUAAUGAUAUAUAAUGAUGAUAGGCAGACAGAAAAAUCACCCUCCCAUAUGCGUGUCAACACUGUAUUAGGUAUAAAGUAAACUUACCAUAAAAUUCACUUCAUAUUGGGUAUGGAGUGAACUUACAAUAAAUUCACUUCAUGUUUUUCUGAAAUUCUAAAAUUCAAAAUUUCAAGAUUUAUGUUAAUUUAUUUAAUUUUGAUUAAUGAAAUAAUUAAUACCAUAAUCUACUUAAAAAAAUUAUUAGUAAGUACCAAAUUGUAAUUUCGACAAUCAAAAUAAAUUCACAUCAUAAUUACAUUUUACUUAAUAAUGUAAUCUGCUUUAAAAAAUUAUUACCAAGUACCAAACUAUAAUCUCGACUAUCAAAAUAAAUUCACAUCAUAAUUUGCAUUAUUACUAGGUACAAUAACUAAAAAUAAUAUUUGUUUCGCUAAAAUAUAAAUUAAAAAAAAAAUUGAGUGAAAGGUGAAGGGAGAUUGUAGUCCAUAUUACACAAGACACUCCAAAGAAAAGAAAAAUGAUAUUUUCACAUAAAAAAUUAAUAUUUGCACAUAAUUUCUCGUAAUCUCACCUCUAUGUGAAAGAGAUUAGUAUAAAAAUAUCAUUUUAACAUGUGAAAAUAUCAGUUAAACUCAAGGCCUCAAAGUAACUUAAGCUGCCCAUCUGUGUUCUCACAUACCAUUUACCCUCAUACUGUCCGCAUCUAAACCAGCAUUACAUUACAUUCCAUCAAUAAAGUACAAAUCCCAGGCUGUUCAAGCCAACCUGUAUGCAAUGGCCUCAUCUCUACCAGCUAGAUUGCAAAAUUUCAUCUAAAUGACAUAGACAUUUCAUAAAUUCAUUCCCCCAGUGACGAACGCAAAUGUCCUUUUCACCCCAGGUACCCUCAAUAAUUCAACAACACAAGUGACCAUAUAGUACCUUACCCGAAAACUCCAUUUGUCUGAACGAGCCACUACAAGAAUUCGGCAAUGGCAUGUUAGUAGAGCCCGCAGCAACAAAAUAUCAAUGAAAAUAUCAUAUCUACCAUCAUUGUGCGACAAAAAAGAAUUAAAUUUGAUUUCCACAUGCCUAAACAGCUAAUAGCACAAAUGGCCAGAUUUUAAAAGACAACCACGGUAACUAGUAACUCGUAAAUAAUGCAGUGAUGCUCAUGUAUAACAAACAAAGCAACGUGAUGCAAAGAUAGAUUGGUGAGUGAAGAUAGGGUGAUGAGGACUGAUCGUUAAAUUCAGAUGAAUCGACAGCUAGGGGCAUUCCGUCACUGUUGAGGCUGCAGGACUGAGGGUUUGAACCGUCCGAGCUCAUCAUAAUGGCACGGAGGACUGCAGAAACCGUGUGGAUGUAAGCUGAUCGGUUCUUGCUGAGGAGCCAUGUCAGUCCCAUGAGCUCACAAUCUCGACUUUGCAUUUUACGGGUUCUGUCAUCGGAAUUACUUGUAUUCCUUGUUUUUUCGUCAUUGAGCUACAUGAAUAUAUAAUACCAGUCAUUAGACUAUUCAUUUCACAAAACAAAUUACACUAAAAAAAGAACAAAGAAGAGAGCUUACAAGAAGUAUAUGAUGAACAGACGGUAGAUGUUAUGUACUCAACAUUUUUACAGUUAUUUGACACUCUUGAAUGCAUAUCCUAUUCUAUUUCAUAAUAAAAUAAGAAUCUAUUUGCUAUGCUUUGAUCCAAUGCAAGAAUAAAAGGAAAAUAAAUAUAUCAUAAAUUACACCCAACAAAUCACUCUCCUCAAUUUAAUCCUUGUUCUAAGACGA